AAGUAAAGUCAUAAAAGAAAGAGAAAGGAAAAUAAGAGAAAUAAGAUCUAUCUUUGAGAGUUUCAUCCUCAAAAGUGAAGAAGUCAGAGGAAGAAAUUGAUAACUUUGACGAAGAAGUUUUCAAAAAGGAAGAAAUGGGUUUAUUCGUCAGACGUUACAAUAGAUAUCUUAAGAUAAAUAAACUCAAGCAUACCGACAAAGGUCUAGUGAAUUUCAGAAAUACUCAUCCACUUAAGAAGGAUCACAAGAAAGAAGACGAUGAGAUUACG
rnacentral:lncRNA from 1 species